rnacentral:tRNA from 1 species
GGGAAUGUGGCUUAGUGGUACAGUGCUUGCCUAACAUGCAUGAAGCCCUGGGUUCGAUUCCUCAGUACCA